GGCCUGCAGGCGCAAUGAAAGUGAAGGGCGACCUCGUUGUCGUCUGCGUUGGGAUCCCCGGUCCGCAGCGUCCGGGGCGCACCAACGGCCCGUCCCUUCUGCCACGUCAGUGGGACGGAGCGAGAGCGUACACGUUGGGACCCGAAAGAUGGUGAACUAUGCCUGGGCAGGACGAGGCCAGAGGAAACUCUGGUGGAGGUCCGCAGCGAUUCUGACGUGCAAAUCGAUCGUCAGACCUGGGUAUAGGGGCGAAAGACUAAUCGAACCAUCUAGUAGCUG
rnacentral:rRNA from 1 species